CACUGAUCAGAAAUACACUAACCGGCUAGUUGAGGUUUAGGGUUUUCAAUGUGCCGACCACUGAUCAGAAAUACACUAACCGGCUAGUUGAGGUUUAGGGUUUUCAAUGUGCCGACCACUGAUCAGAAAUACACUCACCGGCUAGUUGAGGUUUAGGGUUUUCAAUGUGCCGACCACUGAUCAGAAAUACACUAACCGGCUAGUUGAGGUUUAGGGUUUUCAAUGUGCCGACCACUGAUCAGAAAUACACUAACCGGCUAGUUGAGGUUUAGGGUUUUCAAUGUGCCGACCACUGAUCAGAAAUACACUAACCGGCUAGUUGAGGUUUAGGGUUUUCAAUGUGCCGACCACUGAUCAGAAAUACACUGACCGGCUAGUUGAGGUUUAGGGUUUUCAAUGUGCCGACCACUGAUCAGAAAUACACUAACCGGCUAGUUGAGGUUUAGGGUUUUCAAUGUGCCGACCACUGAUCAGAAAUACACUGACCGGCUAGUUGAGGUUUAGGGUUUUCAAUGUGCCGACCACUGAUCAGAAAUACACUGACCGGCUAGUUGAGGUUUAGGGUUUUCAAUGUGCCGACCACUGAUCAGAAAUACACUGACCGGCUAGUUGAGGUUUAGGGUUUUCAAUGUGCCGACCACUGAUCAGAAAUACACUGACCGGCUAGUUGAGGUUUAGGGUUUUCAAUGUGCCGACCACUGAUCAGAAAUACACUGACCGGCUAGUUGAGGUUUAGGGUUUUCAAUGUGCCGACCACUGAUCAGAAAUACACUGACCGGCUAGUUGAGGUUUAGGGUUUUCAAUGUGCCGACCACUGAUCAGAAAUACACUGACCGGCUAGUUGAGGUUUAGGGUUUUCAAUGUGCCGACCACUGAUCAGAAAUACACUGACCGGCUAGUUGAGGUUUAGGGUUUUCAAUGUGCCGACCACUGAUCAGAAAUACACUAACCGG